rnacentral:rRNA from 1 species
GACGAACGCUGGCGGCGUGCUUAACACAUGCAAGUCGAACGGAAAGGCCCUGCUUUUGUGGGGUGCUCGAGUGGCGAACGGGUGAGUAACACGUGAGUAACCUGCCCUUGACUUUGGGAUAACUUCAGGAAACUGGGGCUAAUACCGGAUAGGAGCUCCUGCUGCAUGGUGGGGGUUGGAAAGUUUCGGCGGCUGGGGAUGGACUCGCGGCUUAUCAGCUUGUUGGUGGGGUAGUGGCUUACCAAGGCUUUGACGGGUAGCCGGCCUGAGAGGGUGACCGGCCACAUUGGGACUGAGAUACGGCCCAGACUCCUACGGGAGGCAGCAGUGGGGAAUAUUGCACAAUGGGCGGAAGCCGGAUGCAGCAACGCCGCGUGCGGGAUGACGGCCUUCGGGUUGUAAACCGCUUUCGCCUGUGACGAAGCGUGAGUGACGGUAAUGGGUAAAGAAGCACCGGCUAACUACGU